GUUGUAAAGAGUUUGCAAAGAUUGUCGAGUUUCAAAGUUCACAUCACAUCCACACCAAUAUAUAUUCAUUUCCUCACUAGUUACUAAUUUCGAGAGGUAAUUCCUCAAGUUUUUUGUGAAGCGCGGUAACGCAACCGACCUCGGAGACGUCGGCGAGAGUUCUGGAAAGAGUUCUCUUUUAUUUUGUGAAGAAUGCAUCCACACCGUGGAAUCAGCUUGUCCGCAGAUGGGGUGCUAGCCUUCGUAAAAUAUUACCCUGCUUAUAGUGUACGUAACACUCUUGUCGGCCCUUGAAAAUCCGAACGAGGCAGUAUAAUUUUCGUGGCAGGCCGUACCCAUAUCCACAGCAAGUCUCCAAGGUGAACAGCUUCU
rfam:Schistosoma rodhaini strain Burundi genome assembly, scaffold: SROB_scaffold0003117